rnacentral:tRNA from 1 species
GCCAUUGUUUCGUAGUGGUUUGAGUAUUGGACUAGAACUCUGGAGACCAGGGUUCGAUUCCCUGCUUGGCC